GAUGAACGCUGGCGGCGUGCUUAACACAUGCAAGUCGAACGGUGAAGGCGGAGCUUGCUCUGCUGGAUCAGUGGCGAACGGGUGAGUAACACGUGAGCAAUCUGCCCCUGACUCUGGGAUAAGCGCUGGAAACGGCGUCUAAUACUGGAUACGAGCUGCGAAGGCAUCUUCAGCAGCUGGAAAGAACUUCGGUCAGGGAUGAGCUCGCGGCCUAUCAGCUUGUUGGUGAGGUAACGGCUCACCAAGGCGUCGACGGGUAGCCGGCCUGAGAGGGUGACCGGCCACACGGGGACGGAGGGAGGCCCCAGACCCGAAGGGGGGGAAAGGGGGGGAAUUUUGACAGAGGGGGGAAGCGCGUGGGACGAAAGCGCGGGGGGGGGAAGACGGGCUUUGGGGUGAAAAACAUUUUUGGGAGGGAAGGAGGAAAAAGUGACGGUACCUAAAAAAAAAGCGCCGGCUAACUACGUG
rnacentral:rRNA from 1 species